rnacentral:lncRNA from 1 species
AAAUUUGAGAAAUGAAACUGAGAACUCCAGCAACUGCUUCUUGAUUGGUCUCACAUGGCGUGCAUUGCUAGGUCUCUGUGCUGUUACAACCAUCGCUGUCCCAUCAGCUAGCCAGGAGGUGGCCUAAGGGGCAAGGCAUAGGGGCUAUCUCUUCAGGCAGGUGGGAGUUCUGCCUCUUUCUAGUACCUCAUGGGGCAGCUCUCCCAGCUCCUCUGCACCCUGAGGCCCCCAAAUUGGCAGGUUGUUUUUUCUUAGUUCUCAACAUCACAUUUCUUUAUUUCAUUUCCCAAGAUAUACCUCAAAUAUAGACAUUUAAAAAAGUGAAUGCCCUCUCUGUGCAUCUUAAGGGAUUUUUCAGAGGUGUGUUCAUACCCUUACUUCACACACACACACACACACACACACACACACACACACAGUUCUAUCUAUCAAUCUAUCUAUCUACCUACCUGCUGUCACCUCUCUAUUGUCUACUUUUAUAUAGGGAGAGCCCUGGCAGUGGUCAGU